ensembl:piRNA 21ur-2145 ncRNA
UCAUACGCUCAAAUUGUAUUU